rnacentral:rRNA from 1 species
UACGUAGGGGGCAAGCGUUGUCCGGAUUUAUUGGGCGUAAAGAGCGUGUAGGCGGCUUGGAAGGUCAGCUGUGAAAACUCGAGGCUCAACCUCGAGACGUCGGUUGAAACCACCUGGCUAGAGUCCGGAAGAGGAGUGUGGAAUUCCCGGUGUAGCGGUGAAAUGCGCAGAUAUCGGGAAGAACACCCGUGGCGAAGGCGGCACUCGGGGACGGUACUGACGCUGAGACGCGAAAGCGUGGGGAGCGAACAGG